rnacentral:rRNA from 1 species
ACGCUCGACACCUACGGGAGACAGCAGUUGGGAAUAUUGGACAAUGGAGGAAACUCUGAUCCAGUGACGCCGCGUGAAGGAAGAAGGUCUUCGGAUUGUAAACUUAUUUUGUCAGGGAAGAAAAAUGACUGUACCUGAAGAAAAAGCACCGGCUAACUACGUGCCAUCAGCCGCGGUAAUCUGAGCGGGCUGGCAAGGC